rnacentral:rRNA from 1 species
AGCUAGUUGGUGGGGUAAUGGCUCACCAAGGCGACGAUGCGUAGCCGACCUGAGAGGGUGAUCGGCCACACUGGGACUGAGACACGGCCCAGACUCCUACGGGAGGCAGCAGUAGGGAAUCUUCCGCAAUGGACGAAAGUCUGACGGAGCAACGCCGCGUGAGUGAUGAAGGUUUUCGGAUCGUAAAGCUCUGUUGUUAGGGAAGAACAAGUGCGAGAGUAACUACUCGCACCUUGACGGUACCUAACCAGAAAGCCACGGCUAACUACGUGC